AUUGAACGCUGGCGGCAUGCCUUACACAUGCAAGUCGAACGGCAGCACGGGAGCAAUCCUGGUGGCGAGUGGCGAACGGGUGAGUAAUAUAUCGGAACGUGCCCAGUCGUGGGGAUAACGUAGCGAAAGCUACGCUAAUACCGCAUACGAUCUAUGGAUGAAAGCGGGGGAUCGCAAGACCUCGCGCGAUUGGAGCGGCCGAUAUCAGAUUAGGUAGUUGGUGAGGUAAAGGCUCACCAAGCCGACGAUCUGUAGCUGGUCUGAGAGGACGACCAGCCACACUGGGACUGAGACACGGCCCAAGACUCCUACGGGGGGCAGCAGUGGGGAAUUUUGGACAAUGGGCGCAAGCCUGAUCCAGCAAUGCCGCGUGC
rnacentral:rRNA from 1 species